CAGUAGUCAUAUGCUUGUCUCAAAGAUUAAGCCAUGCAUGUCUAAGUCCAAGCUGUGUUCACACGGCGAGACCGCGGACGGCUCAUUAAAUCAGUCGUGGUCCAAAUGGGCCAGUGCAAAUCCUACUUGGAUAACUGUGGUAAUUCCAGAGCUAAUACAUGCAACUGAUAUCCCGAAGGCGGUGUUUGGGCUUGCUUGCCUUGCGCUGCGCUGCUCUGACGGAUGCUUUUAUUAGACCAAGCCGCUGAGGACUUGAGGGUUCGCGCUCUCUUGUCUGACUCGUGUGAUGGUGACUCUGGAUAACCAAAUUCUGACAAGCGCACGUACUUCUCUUCUGAGCGAGACGGCGCUGCCACUUUCGAGUGUCUGCCUUAUCAGCUAUCAACCGUUCGUUAUGCGCGACCGAUGGCUUUGACGGGUAACGGGGAAUCAGGGUUCGAUUCCGGAGAGGCAGCCUGAGAGACGGCUACCACGUCCAAGGACGGCAGCAGGCACGCAAAUUACCCAAUCCCAGCAAAUGGGGGAGGUAGUGACGAAAUCUAACGAUGCGGGCGCCCUUUCUGGGGCCCCGCAAUCGGAAUGGGCACUUUCUAAACAACCUGUUGAGAACCUACUGAAG
rnacentral:rRNA from 1 species